rnacentral:piRNA from 1 species
UGAGCUUUCUCAACACCCAAGCCUUUUGAA